AUCGAACGCUGGCGGCAUGCCUAACACAUGCAAGUCGAACGGCAACACACCUUGAGCUUCUGCCUACGGGUGGCCGGUGGAGGAAUGCAGCGGAAUGUGCCCGAGUCUACUUUUUAACGCAGCGAAACCUGUGCUAAUUCCCCAUUUUAUCUCAUAAUAACUACGGGUGACCGCACAGCAACUUCGGACCUCGCGCGUUUGAAUCAGCCGAUGUCGGAUUAGCUAGUUGGCGGGGUAAAGGCCUACCAAGCCGACGAUCCGUAGCUGGUCUGAGAGGACGAUCAGCCACACUGGAACUGAGACACGGUCCAGACUCCUACGGGAGGCAGCAGUGGGGAAUAUUGGACAAUGGGCGCAAGCCUGAUCCAGCCAUACCGCGUGGGGGAAGAAGGCCUUCGGGUUGUAAAGCCCUUUUGUUGGGAAAGAAAAGCAGCUGGUUAAUACCUGGCGGUGAUGACGGUACCGUAAGAAUAAGCACCGGCUAACUACGUG
rnacentral:rRNA from 1 species